ensembl:misc_RNA
UUCAUUGCCCUAGGGCCUGAAGGCAUCUAUUAUCCACAGAACAGGUAUAGAAUGGACAGCAGUAGCUCAUCCAUCCCCACCCUGUUCUACAAAUAUGCCUCAGCCUUGACCUGGAAGGAGCACCUCUAGAGUGUGAGAGGGCAUAAUUCAAUCUCUAAAUCCCUUCACACACUGGUUUCU